AGGCAGAGGGAGAAGCAGGCUCCCUGAAUGGAAGCCCGAUAUGGGACUCGAUCCUGGGUCUCCAGGAUCACACCCCCGGCCGCAGGCGGCGCUAAACAGCUGCGCCACCAGGGCUGCCCAGAAGAUGGAUUUCUAAUGUUUCCUACUCUGCUAUUUUUCCAGAACUCUGAACACUACAGAAUUUUUAGAGCAUAUACUCCUGCAUUUAUGUUUUAGGCACACUUUCUCAACAUAUGCAAACUAUUCGAACUUCUGGUGGCACCUUGACAUUCUGUGGCUUGUGACAGCAUAUGUCCAAUCUCUGCCUCCAUCUUCAUGUGGCCUUGUUUCUGCCUCUACUCUACUUUCUAUAAGCUCAAGUCCAAGCAAAAUACCUUUAGAUCUUGGUGAUUGCAAACUACAUUCACUGCUACCACUCCAGUUGCCAGUGCUCUCAGAUUACUGCAGUAGUUGUUUUUUUACAAAUCUCCUGUUCCUACUAUCUAUUCCCAACAGGGCAACCAGAUUGAACCUUUAAAAUGAAACUCGUCUCAUGGACUCCAUGGACCACUCACCUCAUUUAGAGUCAGAGUAGAUGCUAAGUCUACCAGCCCACUCCUUUCCCAUCUUCUCUCUGUCUCACACUUCUCAUCCACUUGCUGUACCUUGCACACACCAGUCACA